CGCGUAGGCGGUUAUUUAAGUCAGCUGUGAAAACUCCGGGCUCAACCCGGAGAUUGCAGAUGAUACUGGAUGGCUUGAGUGCAGGAGAGGACAGUGGAAUUCCUAGUGUAGCGGUGAAAUGCGUAGAUAUUAGGAGGAACACCAGUGGCGAAGGCGGCUGUCUGGACUGUAACUGACGCUGAGGCGCGAAAGCGUGGGGAGCAAACAG
rnacentral:rRNA from 1 species